rnacentral:lncRNA from 1 species
CGCAGGGUUAGUUUGUGUAUGAUCUCGUACUGUAGCUUGGCGGCUUGGACUGGGGGGGCUGAGCGUAGGCAUCAAUAAGACCACUAAGGGGGAGUUUUCUACUUGUAAAACGCAUGAAAAGCCUCCCCAAAUUCCCGGUGACUUCAGAUUCAAGGAGGUGGUCAUAUCCAUCGGAGCACCAUUCAUACUCUAGAACUUUCACUUCUAGUAGGACUGCGGCUUCAGACAAAAUCCCAUUGCUGCCUGCGCGCGCUCUUAACAUGAACUCAAAUGGAUUAAAACGUAUCUGACAUAAACCUGUUUCUGUAAGUAACCUAUAGGUAAGCUUUACAUUUUCAAUUUUAGGAGAAUAUGCGAAAGCUGUGAAUUGGUUUAAGAUUUUGAAUCCAUCCUGCGUAAUGCUUACCUGGACAUUAUGAAGAGACAUCAAAGCAUUUUGCAUGCUUGGGAAAAGAUACAGUAUUGCUGAAACUUUCUGUUCGCCUCCAUUCAACCACUCGAUAUUGCUUGUGGCUAUCGACACAACUGAAUCUUGAGUGACCAGCCUGCCUACACGUAGCAGCAAUUCCAUUUUUGACACAAAUAUGGACCGUUUAUGGAUUGCAGUUUUAGUGGUUCUAACCGUUGCACUAGUACGAAUGUGUGACUGCCAGAAGGACUCAACAGGUGGUAGACAGGAGAUGUGGGAGCAGCUCCGGGAGCUAGCGAGGAGCCAAGGUCACUCCGCAGUGGGAGCUAAGGACGCUGUCCCCGACAUACCAUCCAGAGAAAGCUUGCUCAACUUCUCUCAUAAUGUCUCGCACUCCGGUCGCCGGGCUCCGGUGAGCUCAUCAUCUCAACGAGAUAACAGGUACGCGACGGCAAUUAAACCAGUUCCAGCUCCCAGUACGGAAGCUUCCCUCCGGGCGGAUGAUGCCACGGUCCCACGAGAUGCUGCGCGUAGGGCCGCGACACAGCUCGGCACCCAUCACUCAUCACAGCAAAGACCCCGAAUCAGUUCCAGACAGAGCAACAAACCCAGCUCAACGCAUACCAGGCGCCUUGCAGGGCCUAAUGUAUGUGGAGGUCACCAGUGCUGCUCUGGAUGGGCUGUGGCAUCUGGCACCAACCGCUGCAUAAAGCGUAAGUAUUCAUCUUUGACCAUAUGCCUUAGGUAAACAAUGAUCAAUGAUAAUCUCUAUCCUUUGGCUUGACUGUCUCUUAACCGUCCUUCUCAAUAGUUUAAGCAUAUUGUCUUACCCAAUAGCAGGGGUCGGCAACUUUGGCCCCCCAAAUUUUGAAAUCUAAAAUAUAUAUAUAAUUUUAGUUUUUGUUUAAGAAAAUGACUGUAAAAUUUAGGAAAUCUGUUCCCAAAUAUCCCCCCCCCCAAAAAAAAGAUAUGAUCGUGUCUCAAUGAAAUUAUGAAAUGAUUGCUUUCAAAAUUUUAAUAAUCUCUUUUUGGGCUUAGGUGUGGGUCAAUUUGACCAUUCGCUCCUACAAAAACCGUCCCGCAGCUGAGUCUUGUUGCCUAACCCUGCCCUAUAGGAAGUGUUCCGUUGUGUCAUUAUUACCUCCAUGGUCAUGUUAUUAAUGUAGAUUAGCAUGCUCUUUCAUGUAAAAUCCUAACAUGGAAAUGACCAGUGCUUAGCACUUGGCUCGCUCUGUUUGACACAAGCCCUUAAUAAUGGGUGUAACUGCACUUUUCUUUAUUUGACCACAGCAAUAUUGGAUAUCUUAACUACCAUAUAAUUAAAAACUCAAUGGCAGAUACUGGGGGUGAGUGAAUAAUUGGGCACUUUUUAAAGCACAAUUUUUGCAGAAUCUUAACAGCUUACAAGUGUUACCAUUGUAACAUUCUUGACAUUUGGAAAGUUUUUUUUGCCUUUUUACUGUUCUGUGGGUUGUGAAGUGUUCUGUAUGUUUUCUAGUGGGGGGCAGGCGCCUUAAACAAUCUCUCCUUUUAAGAGAUAAUUGUGACCUAGUAACCACCCAGUUAGCACAUUUUGUUCCUUCAAAGUUUUGGGAACAUACGUUUUUGGUUUCCCAUUGGUUCUGGGAACGAAGCCAUACGUUUCCUGACCGGUUAAACUGAAAGCUUUUUAAACGUGCUGAGAACAGAAGUGAAAAUUAUGCCUGUCUGGGAAUGUUUAUUUAUCGGUUGAAGGGAGGUUCUGAUAAUGUUUUACUCUGGUUCUUUGAAAGCUUUCCUGGGAGGUUUUAUUAAUGCACUGAGAACGG